UGGGGAAUUUUGGACAAUGGGCGAAAGCCUGAUCCAGCAAUGCCGCGUGUGUGAAGAAGGCCUUCGGGUUGUAAAGCACUUUUGUCCGGAAAGAAAUCCUUGGCUCUAAUACAGUCGGGGGAUGACGGUACCGGAAGAAUAAGCACCGGCUAACUACGUGCCAGCAGCCGCGGUAAUACGUAGGGUGCAAGCGCUAAUCGGAAUUACUGGGCGUAAAGCGUGCGCAGGCGGUUUGCUAAGACCGAUGUGAAAUCCCCGGGCUCAACCUGGGAACUGCAUUGGUGACUGGCAGGCUAGAGUAUGGCAGAGGGGGGUAGAAUUCCACGUGUAGCAGUGAAAUGCGUAGAGAUGUGGAGGAAUACCGAUGGCGAAGGCAGCCCCCUGGGCCAAAUACUGACGCUCAUGCACGAAAGCGUGGGGAGCAAAACAGGAUUAGAUACCCUGGUAGUCCACGCCCUAAAACGAUGUCAACUAGUUGUUGGGGAUUCAUUUCCUUAGUAACGUAGCUAACGCGUGAAGUUGACCGCCUGGGGAGUACGGUCGCAAGAUUAAAACUUAAAUGAAUUGACGGGGUCAUAGCUGUUUCCU
rnacentral:rRNA from 1 species